GGGUUGUGAGGUUAAGCGACUAAGCGUACACGGUGGAUGCCCUGGCAGUCAGAGGCGAUGAAGGACGUGCUAAUCUGCGAAAAGCGUCGGUAAGGUGAUAUGAACCGUUACAGCCGGCGAUGUCCGAAUGGGGAAACCCAGUGCAAUUCGUUGCACUAUCGUUAACUGAAUACAUAGGUUAACGAGGCGAACCGGGGGAACUGAAACAUCUAAGUACCCCGAGGAAAAGAAAUCAACCGAGAUUCCCCCAGUAGCGGCGAGCGAACGGGGAGCAGCCCAGAGUCUGAAUCAGCUUGUGUGUUAGUGGAACGGUCUGGAAAGUCCGACGGUACAGGGUGAUAGUCCCGUACACCAAAAUGCACAGGUUGUGAACUCGAAGAGUAGGGCGGGACACGUGGUAUCCUGUCUGAAUAUGGGGGGACCAUCCUCCAAGGCUAAAUACUCCUGACUGACCGAUAGUGAACCAGUACCGUGAGGGAAAGGCGAAAAGAACCCCGGCGAGGGGAGUGAAAAAGAACCUGAAACCGUGUACGUACAAGCAGUGGGAGCACCUUCGGGUGUGACUGCGUACCUUUUGUAUAAUGGGUCAGCGACUUAUAUUCUGUAGCAAGGUUAACCGUAUAGGGGAGCCGCAGGGAAACCGAGUCUUAACUGGGCGUUAAGUUGCAGGGUAUAGACCCGAAACCCGGUGAUCUAGCCAUGGGCAGGUUGAAGGUUGGGUAACACUAACUGGAGGACCGAACCGACUAAUGUUGAAAAAUUAGCGGAUGACUUGUGGCUGGGGGUGAAAGGCCAAUCAAACCGGGAGAUAGCUGGUUCUCCCCGAAAGCUAUUUAGGUAGCGCCUCGUGAAUUCAUCUUCGGGGGUAGAGCACUGUUUCGGCUAGGGGGUCAUCCCGACUUACCAACCCGAUGCAAACUACGAAUACCGAAGAAUGUUAUCACGGGAGACACACGGCGGGUGCUAACGUCCGUCGUGAAGAGGGAAACAACCCAGACCGCCAGCUAAGGUCCCAAAGUCAUGGUUAAGUGGGAAACGAUGUGGGAAGGCACAGACAGCCAGGAUGUUGGCUUAGAAGCAGCCAUCAUUUAAAGAAAGCGUAAUAGCUCACUGGUCGAGUCGGCCUGCGCGGAAGAUGUAACGGGGCUAAACCAUGCACCGAAGCUGCGGCAGCGACACUAUGUGUUGUUGGGUAGGGGAGCGUUCUGUAAGCCUGCGAAGGUGUGCUGUGAGGCAUGCUGGAGGUAUCAGAAGUGCGAAUGCUGACAUAAGUAACGAUAAAGCGGGUGAAAAGCCCGCUCGCCGGAAGACCAAGGGUUCCUGUCCAACGUUAAUCGGGGCAGGGUGAGUCGACCCCUAAGGCGAGGCCGAAAGGCGUAGUCGAUGGGAAACAGGUUAAUAUUCCUGUACUUGGUGUUACUGCGAAGGGGGGACGGAGAAGGCUAUGUUAGCCGGGCGACGGUUGUCCCGGUUUAAGCAUGUAGGCUGAUUGUCCAGGCAAAUCCGGAUAAUCAAGGCUGAGGUGUGAUGACGAGGCACUACGGUGCUGAAGUAACAAAUGCCCUGCUUCCAGGAAAAGCCUCUAAGCAUCAGGUAACAUCAAAUCGUACCCCAAACCGACACAGGUGGUCAGGUAGAGAAUACCAAGGCGCUUGAGAGAACUCGGGUGAAGGAACUAGGCAAAAUGGUGCCGUAACUUCGGGAGAAGGCACGCUGGUGUGUAGGUGAAGUCCCUGCGGAUGGAGCUGAGACCAGUCGAAGAUACCAGCUGGCUGCAACUGUUUAUUAAAAACACAGCACUGUGCAAACACGAAAGUGGACGUAUACGGUGUGACGCCUGCCCGGUGCCGGAAGGUUAAUUGAUGGGGUUAUCCGUAAGGAGAAGCUCUUGAUCGAAGCCCCGGUAAACGGCGGCCGUAACUAUAACGGUCCUAAGGUAGCGAAAUUCCUUGUCGGGUAAGUUCCGACCUGCACGAAUGGCGUAAUGAUGGCCAGGCUGUCUCCACCCGAGACUCAGUGAAAUUGAACUCGCUGUGAAGAUGCAGUGUACCCGCGGCAAGACGGAAAGACCCCGUGAACCUUUACUAUAGCUUGACACUGAACAUUGAGCCUUGAUGUGUAGGAUAGGUGGGAGGCUUUGAAGCGUGGACGCCAGUCUGCGUGGAGCCAACCUUGAAAUACCACCCUUUAAUGUUUGAUGUUCUAACGUUGGCCCCUGACCGGGGUUGCGGACAGUGUCUGGUGGGUAGUUUGACUGGGGCGGUCUCCUCCCAAAGCGUAACGGAGGAGCACGAAGGUUAGCUAAUCCUGGUCGGACAUCAGGAGGUUAGUGCAAUGGCAUAAGCUAGCUUGACUGCGAGCGUGACGGCGCGAGCAGGUGCGAAAGCAGGUCAUAGUGAUCCGGUGGUUCUGAAUGGAAGGGCCAUCGCUCAACGGAUAAAAGGUACUCCGGGGAUAACAGGCUGAUACCGCCCAAGAGUUCAUAUCGACGGCGGUGUUUGGCACCUCGAUGUCGGCUCAUCACAUCCUGGGGCUGAAGUAGGUCCCAAGGGUAUGGCUGUUCGCCAUUUAAAGUGGUACGCGAGCUGGGUUUAGAACGUCGUGAGACAGUUCGGUCCCUAUCUGCCGUGGGCGCUGGAGAAUUGAGGGGGGCUGCUCCUAGUACGAGAGGACCGGAGUGGACGCAUCACUGGUGUUCGGGUUGUCAUGCCAAUGGCACUGCCCGGUAGCUAAAUGCGGAAGAGAUAAGUGCUGAAAGCAUCUAAGCACGAAACUUGCCCCGAGAUGAGUUCUCCCUGAGACUUUAAGUCUCCUGAAGGAACGUUGAAGACGACGACGUUGAUAGGCCGGGUGUGUAAGCGCAGCGAUGCGUUGAGCUAACCGGUACUAAUGAACCGUGAGGCUUAACCUUACAACGCCGAAG
rnacentral:rRNA from 1 species